rnacentral:lncRNA from 1 species
AGAGAGAAAAAAAAAAGAAAGAAAUGAAAUAGUGCAAAAUUUUUCUAAAUGGUGCAAUACUGGACUAAAGAGUGUAAAGUCUAUUUUAAAAGAGUGUAAUUUUUAUAUGAAAUAGUGCAAUUUUCAUUAAAACAGUGCAAAUUUUUUUAAAACAGUGUAAUUUUUUUUAAGAGUGCAAUUUUAUCAUUUUCUUUCUUCUCCUAUAUGUUUUGAUCUUUUCUGUAGGAAAAAAAUAAUUUUUUUUUAUUUUUAUUCUUUUCUAUAAUUUUUUUUUGUCACCACAUCUCCCUUACUUUCUAUCGCAACCAUCGCGACGUCGUCGGAGGCGAUCUCGCCGCCUUCGACGACGUCUCGGCGUUCCGACGCGCGGUGGAGGAAAAGAGCCUGCGUCUUGACGUCACCGUGCCCUAGUGGAGAAGAAUGGUGGCGACGCAACCUCAGCAAGGUCGGAGGCGAUGAGGGCUGGAGUGUAAGGGCGAGGGCGUGCGGGGCGGAGGCGAGGCGGAGGCGAGACGGACUGUUUCCACCUCCGCCUCCGCUACCUUCUUCGGAGAGAGGAAAAAGAGGAGAGAGAAAAAGUAAUAAGGGUAUUUUGGUCAGUUAGCUAAAAUUUCGGUCCGAAUCUGCAAAAUCCAAAAAAGUGGUCCACUUUUGCAAAAGCCCAAAAUUAGUGGAUUUUUUAUGCAAAUUGGCCAUAAAAAUACUAUAAAAUUUAUCUAAAUUAUUAUAUACUAUUUUUAUUUAAUAUAUGUUUGAUAUUAUAUUUAAAUUUAAAUUUUAAAAUUUAAAUUUAAUAUAAUAUAUUUGAAAUAUGAUAAAAAGAAAUAAUUAUUUCGUUUUCAAAUUUUCGAAUUCGAAUUCAAAUUUUGAAUUUGAUAGUCAGAUUUGGAUUGGGAUUUUUAAAAAUCCGCUCCAAAUCUAACCCAUUGACAUUCCUAUAGAGAAACCUGAGGGCUUGAAACAAAAGUUGGUAGGGAAAAUGCCAGCAUAGGAAUGUCAAUUAAUGAGGUUCAAAGCGAAUUUUUCAAAAUUUAAAUUCAAAUCCACACGAAAUCUGAAUCCGACGAAUUUUAAAAAUUUUAUAUUCAAAUUUGAACUCGACCAAAAAACUGAACCGAAAAACACGAAUCCGAAAUAAUUAUUUAUCUUUACCAUAUAUAAUAACAUAUUAUAUUAAAAUUUAAAAUUUUAAAAUACAAAUGCAAAUAUAAUAUUCAACAUUCAUAUAUACUAUUAUACAACGAAAAACCAAUUUAGGUCCGGGUUAGGUCGGGAUUGGGUCAAGUAAAGACAAAAUUCAAAUCCACAUUCAAAAUCGUCAAAUUUUUAAUUUUUAUAUUCAUAUCGGUAACCAUAUCGGUUGAACAUUAUAUAAAUCCGUCAAAUUCGAAUUCGGAUUCAAAAAAAAUUUUAAGUUUCCACAU